GCUCCCUUGGGCGGUGCAUACACUACAAUUGGAAUGAUACAGAAAAGGUUAGUGUGGCCCCUAUGCUAGCGUGACAUACAAAUUCCGUGAAGCAUAAAUAUUAAAAUAUUAUU
ensembl:snRNA U6 U6 spliceosomal RNA